UACGGAGGAUGCGAGCGUUAUCCGGAUUUAUUGGGUUUAAAGGGUGCGUAGGCGGACUGUCAAGUCAGCGGUAAAAUACGGGGGCUCAACCUCCGCCCGCCGUUGAAACUGACGGUCUUGAGUGGGCGAGAAGUAUGCGGAAUGCGUGGUGUAGCGGUGAAAUGCAUAGAGAUCACACAGAACACCGAUUGCGAAGGCAGCUUACAAAUCUAUAUCGGACGCUGAGGCACGAAAGCGUGGGGAGCAAACAGG
rnacentral:rRNA from 1 species